GAGACCUCAGGUCAGGCGGGGCUACCCGCUGAG
rnacentral:rRNA from 2 species